rnacentral:lncRNA from 1 species
AACUGGCAACUGGCAACUUUCUUUAAUUUGUCUCUAUUCUCUCUUUGUGCGACAACAAACCAAAACGGUUAAGGAUAGAGAGCAUAUAUGAGCUUUCAGCUAUGUACGAUAUUUACCACACUCUCUCUUUCUAUGGGAGGGUCCACAUAGUUACAAUUAUCCUCUUUGUUGUGUUAAAAAUAUAAAAAAUAAAAAAUAAAAAAUAAAAACUAAUAUAUUACAUUACUUGACAUUUCCAUUUAUGCAAAUGUGAAUGUGACAAGAAAAAAAAGGAGAGAAGAAAACGUGCCAAGUGAAUAUUUAAUGGUA